rnacentral:rRNA from 1 species
GACAGAGGGUGCAAACGUUGUUCGGAAUUACUGGGCGUAAAGCGCACGUAGGCGGCUUUGUAAGUUAGAGGUGAAAGCCCGGGGCUCAACUCCGGAAUUGCCUUUAAGACUGCAUCGCUAGAACGUCGGAGAGGUAAGUGGAAUUCCGAGUGUAGAGGUGAAAUUCGUAGAUAUUCGGAAGAACACCAGUGGCGAAGGCGACUUACUGGACGACUGUUGACGCUGAGGUGCGAAAGCGUGGGGAGCAAACAGG